rnacentral:rRNA from 1 species
AUGCUAGGGGAGCUGCCCAAGCUCAUGCAGCUCAGUCUGCACAAGUCUGCUUCUAAGAGGGAGAAGUUAGUGUUCAGAGCAAAAACAUUUCUCAACCUGAGAAAACUUUCCAUUUAUCAUCUGAACGAACUGAGGGAGGUGAGAUUCGAGAAGGGCUCCUUGCCCCAGAUGGAAAUGCUAGAAUUCAGUGUUUGCGAUUUGGGAUCCGGAAUCACUGGUAUCAAUCACCUUGCAGUGCUCAAGCAGAUUUCACUUGGUUACAAAGGCAGAGUGGCAAAGCUUGGUGUGCUCCAAGCUGAAGUGGAAGCACACCCCAACCAUCCCGUGCUGCAACUCAACGAAGACCGAAGCGAGCAUGACUUGGGGGAUGUUUUCCAAGGACCUGAUGUUGCAGAAACAGAGGGUGAAGACGAACCAUCCCUCCUCCUAGAGACUUGUACGAUGGGGGAGAGCUCACAAACAGAAGCGGUGGUCAUGCCGACAACGAACGUCAUCAGCCAUGAGGAUCUGCUCUACACUUACAAUUCAUGCUGA